UACGGAGGGUGCAAGCGUUGUCCGGAUUUAUUGGGUUUAAAGGGUGCGUAGGCGGCCCGUUAAGUCAGCGGUGAAAUCCCAGGGCUCAACCCUGGAACUGCCGUUGAUACUGGCGGGCUUGAGUUCGGUCGAGGCGGGCGGAACUGGUGGUGUAGCGGUGAAAUGCUUAGAUACCGCCAAGAACCCCGAUUGCGUAGGCAGCUCGCUAGGCCGAAACUGACGCUGAGGCACGAAAGCGUGGGGAGCGAACAGG
rnacentral:rRNA from 1 species